AGAAUAAAAAAUUUAUUAGAAUCGCUUCACUUUUUUUUUCUGAAGGGAGAAUUGCUUCACUUAGGGCACGUCAUUCACGCUCAUAUGUUCUGCUUCACCUUCAAUCCAUAGCUCUGCUUCGCUUCUUCUUCUACUUCGCUUCUUCUUCUUCCAUUAAACCUUUUGCUUCACUCUCAAACUUCUUCCGUUAAACCUUCAGCUUUAUUUCACGCUCAACACAAUCGUUCGUGAGCCAAUUUGCGAUGAAAGCAUUUCGCUAAGUGUUCAAUUUGGGGUUAGUGAUUUCGCAAAAAAAGCUCUCUCUUCUUUACGCUGUUCUUCGAUCGAUUUUUCAUUUAAGAGGCUUUAGGUGGAACAAUUUUUUCAGAGAUUACAAAUUUAAGGUAAGGGAAUACAAAUGUUCUUUAUUUAUUUUUGGUUGAGGAUGUUAUUUCGUGGAGCUCGUUGGUUUCUAUUUAUGCGGAGAACGAUUUGUUGUGUGAUACUUUGGAGGUGUAAUUAUAUUGUAUAAUUAUAUUUUGUGGCUUUAUGUCACAAUGUAUGAUCUAGGUGCAUCAUUCCUCGUGCAAGUAAACAUACCCUCUUGCAAUCCCAAAGGCAAUCUGGUUUAGAUAUAUUCAAUUUUAGAUAUUGAUGAAUGUGUAGCAGUAUGAUAUCUGGUUGUAUUUAGUACUAGUGAUGUAAUUUUAUAAUUUGCUUUUACAUUUAUCUUAGGUAAAAAAUAGAAAUACAAAAAAGAGAGUGUAAUUUUGUCUCUUUGUUUAGCAUAUGAAAGCAAGCUUUAAGGGAAAUGUAAAACAUAAAGCAUUCUGGUUAAGAUAAAAAAAUAGUGGUUGUACUUCAUAGUAUUAUUAUAUAGUAUUAGAUAAUUAUCCUUUUGGCAAAGACGAGCAUGGAGCAUGAUGAUAAAGGAUGGGAAUUAAGGCACUCACAACAUGAGCUUACAUUGGGUCCACAAUCUUCUAUAGUUGUUGGGUGGCAAAAGAAAGAUGGGAUAAGGUCUGCCUCUGGAGAAGUAAAGGUACUUCUAUGUUUUGUGCAUAAUGAAGUCUCAGCUGAUAAUUUUAUUACCUUCAAAAAUACUUUUUUCUAUAUAAUUCAUCUUUCUGAAACAAAAAAAAAGUUAGAAUUUUUUCUGACCGAUCUUGUGCUUCUGUCUUUAAAAUAGUGUCUUGUAUAUAUUGCAAAUUAUUUAGGACAACAAAAAAUCAUCUUUUCCUAUACUGAAUUAACUCUUUCUCAACUUCUUUAGUUUGGCACAAGUU